rnacentral:rRNA from 1 species
CCAAUAGCGUAUAUUAAAGUUGUUGCAGUUAAAAAGCUCGUAGUUGAAUUUCGGGAUUGGCGCAUCGGUCGUGCCUCACGGGGUAUGAACUGGUGCAGUCAAUUUCUCACCUUCUGGAGAACCGCGAUGUCCUUAAUUGGAUGCCGCGGGGAACCAGGACCUUUACUUUGAAAAAAUUAGAGUGUUUAAAGCAGGCAUUUUUGCUUGAAUACAUUAGCAUGGAAUACUAAAAUAGGACGGCAUGGUUCUAUUUUGUUGGUUUCUAGGACCACCGUAAUGAUUAAUAGGGAUAGUUGGGGGCAUUAGUAUUCAAUUGUCAGAGGUGAAAUUCUUGGAUUUAUUGAAGACUAACUACUGCGAAAGCAUUUGCCAAGGAUGUUUUCAUUAAUCAAGAACGAAAGUUAGGGGAUCGAAGACGAUCAGAUACCGUCGUAGUCUUAACCAUAAACUAUGCCGACUAGGAAUCAGACGAUGUUAAUUUUUUAAUGACUCGUUUGGCACCUUACG